rnacentral:rRNA from 1 species
AUUGAACGCUGGCGGCAGGCUUAACACAUGCAAGUCGAGCGAGCGGCGGACUGGUGAGUAAUGUCUGGGAAACUGCCUGAUGGAGGGGGAUAACUACUGGAAACGGUAGCUAAUACCGCAUACCAUCAGAUGUGCCCAGUUGGGAUUAGCUAGUAGGUGGGGUAAUGGCCCACCGGGGCGACGAUCCCUAGCUGGGCUGAAAGGAUGACCGGCCACACAGGAACUGAGAAACGGUCCAGACUCCUGAGGGAGGCAGAGGUGGGGAAUAUUGAACAAUGGGAGCAAGCCGGGUGCAGCCAUGCCGCGUGUGUGAAGAAGGCCUUCGGGUUGUAAAGCACUUUCAGCGAGGAGGCGUUACUCGCAGAAGAAGCACCGGCUAACUCCGUGCCAGCAGCCGCGGUAAUAC